UUUCCUACGGGGGGCAGCAGUAAGGGAUAUUGGUCAAUGGGGGAAACCCUGAACCAGCAACGCCGCGUGAGGGAAGACGGUUUUCGGAUUGUAAACCUCUGUCCUCUGUGAAGAUGAUGACGGUAGCAGAGGAGGAAGCUCCGGCUAACUACGUGCCAGCAGCCGCGGUAAUACGGAGGGUGCAAGCGUUACUCGGAAUCACUGGGCGUAAAGAGCGCGUAGGCGGGAUAGCAAGUCAGAUGUGAAAUCCUAUGGCUUAACCAUAGAACUGCAUUUGAAACUGUUAUUCUAGAGUAUGUGAGAGG
rnacentral:rRNA from 1 species